CGGAUUGCAGGCUGCAACCCGCCUGCAUGAAGUUGGAAUCGCUAGUAAUCGCGGAUCAGCAUGCCGCGGUGAAUACGUUCCCGGGCCUUGUACACACCGCCCGUCACACCAUGAGAGUCGGGAACACCCGAAGUCCGUAGCCUAACCGCAAGGGGGCGCGGCCGAAGGUGGGUUCGAUAAUUGGGGUGAAGUCGUAACAAGGUACC
rnacentral:rRNA from 1 species